UACCACUUGGAUCAGCCCAGAUGAUGAGGAUGCCUCUCGAACUUCGCCACGGCCCACGGAGCAGCAGCGCUCCCGGCGACGGCGAGGAGCGGCGGCCACCGCCCUCGCGGCGGAUUUGGGGUACCCCGCUGCCGCCCUUGCCCAUGGCGGCCGCCGUUCCGGUGCCCUGGUCGCCGGAGUCGGAGUUCGACGGCGCGGAGGAGGCGCCGUCCGGAGCUCGAUGCCGCAAAGAGAGCCCUCACGCCGCAGCGGCGCUGAUAACUGUGCAGAUGAUGCCGGAGUGGAAGGAUUCGAGAUUUGAUGAGCGCAUCGGAGCAGCGCCAACAAUGAGGACCUGGUGGUAGAUUCCUUUAAACUAUCUUGCGGUUUUUUUUUUCUAGUUCUUUUGGAUCAUACGGCUUGAGUGGUACUGAAUUUUAGGCUCCAAUUAUAUUUGUUUAGUUUGUUCCUGAUCCAUAAAUCAAUCGGUAAUACUGGAAAGAAUUUAGAUUCCCAGUUCCCACGUCUUCGCAGUCUUGACAAAUGGCAAAUAGACAUGUUCAUUAUUAGGCUGAAUACAUUCAAGUUUUACUAUCGUCUACGUUGUUAGACUCAAAGGGUUGGUCCCAAAAAAAAUGGAUUUCUCUUGUACACUAUAUAGAACAAGGUUUACAUGCAUAGUUCAAAUGGAUGCAUCCUUGGAGUGGGAUGAUGCUA